UCCAGGCCCUACGGGGGGCAGCAGUGAGGGAUUUUCGGCAAUGGGCGAAAGCCUGACCGAGCGACGCCGCGUGAGCGAAGAAGGCCUUCGGGUCGUAAAGCUCUGUCUAGGGGGACGAGAGAGGACGGUACCCCU
rnacentral:rRNA from 1 species